UCUAUAGUUGCCAAUAGCUGGCGCGGAGAUGUACGUGUUAGGGCAGAUGCAUUCCGUUUGUGUGCCUACGGACUGUAUGGUGUAUGUCGAGUUUGAGACAGUUGAACUAUAUAUAGAGAGAGAUAACCAUGCAUGGCGCUGUUGGGGUGUCGCUUCUGAAUUUGUCUUUGAACUAUAAUUGCGUGUAUUGCGUGACACAUGUUUGUUCAUCUUGAUCUGUGUUCUAGAUCAUCAUUGGAUAGCAUAAUAACAACGGUGAACUGGCAAUACAAGCUAUGUUUGACAGCUCAUUUUUUCCUAGCUAUAUCAUGGUACAUUAUAACUGGCAGAGACUUUAUCAGAAACAUUUUUACACAUCGUGAAAUACUGAUUAUAGGAUCGUUCAUCUGUGACAACGUGUGACUAAAAGGCUGUCGUGCAAUGCAUAUGGAUGAGCAGCCACAGAACUGUGAGCGUAGAUGGGCCCCAUUGAGGGCCCAUCAGCUCCAAAGUGCACUUGCAGAACAUUCGAGGCAGCACGUUUGUACACUGAAAUCUGAAUGGAAAGACAGUGUGACAUGAAAACAGCAAAAGAGGUUAAGGAAAAUUGCGCUAACUGCUGCUUUUCAGGUCCAUGGGGUUUUUACCCUGCGCGCAAGACCUGCAAUGUUCGCACUACCGCAUUUCCCAGUGCCUCCUAGUCCUAGCUUAAAUUAACAGCAAUACGAUACCACAUUGCCAAAGCUAGCCUCGACAGAUUCUAGCUACUACGGGAACGCAAAGUCUGGUCCGCUGUUACUAGCUAGCGGCUACCUCAUGAGAAGAGAUAAUAGUGUGCUGGUAUAUAUAUAUAUACAUUCAUAGAUGUAUGAGUAGCUCUUGUAGACCAUCUCAUAUCUCACUCGUAUUUAUAUUUCAUCUGAAACAAAACUAGAGUCAUCGGGUCGGUGUGGUCCUCUAGUUGGGCUUUGAGAAAAACAGCUGCUCCACGUGUC
rnacentral:lncRNA from 1 species